ACUCCUACGGGAGGCAGCAGUGGGGAAUCUUGGACAAUGGGCGCAAGCCUGAUCCAGCCAUGCCGCGUGAGUGAUGAAGGCCUUAGGGUCGUAAAGCUCUUUCGCCAGAGAUGAUAAUGACAGUAUCUGGUAAAGAAACCCCGGCUAACUCCGUGCCAGCAGCCGCGGUAAUACGGAGGGGUUAGCGUUGUUCGGAAUUACUGGGCGUAAAGCGCACGUAGGCGGAUUAGUUAGUCAGAGGUGAAAUCCCGGGGCUCAACCCGGAACUGCCUUUGAUACUGCUAGUCUUGAGUUCGAGAGAGGUGAGUGGAAUUCCGAGUGUAGAGGUGAAAUUCGUAGAUAUUCGGAGGAACACCAGUGGCGAAGGCGGCUCACUGGCUCGAUACUGACGCUGAGGUGCGAAAGUGUGGGGAGCAAACAGGAUUAGAUACCCUGGUAGCGACUGA
rnacentral:rRNA from 1 species